rnacentral:lncRNA from 1 species
GCUGCACAUGUGGCAUAUGGAAGUUCCCAGGCUAGAGGUUGAAUUGGAGCAGCUGCAGGCCUACGCCACAGUCAUAGUAAUGUGGGAUCCUUGUUGUGUCUGUGACCUACACUACAGCUCACGGCAACACCAGUGAUUGGGGCCAGGAAUUUAACCCACAUCCUCAUGGAUAAUAGUUGGGUUCAUUACCACCGAGCCGCAACCAGAAUUCCACUUUGCUUUCCAUAUUUCCCUAACUCUCCCCUGUAUUUCCUAUGAUACAGCCAAAGAAAUUACUGGAGCUGAAGUUUUUGUCUCUGUGUGUUCACAUCAAGAUAACUUCUUUGCCUGAGAGACUGGUCUAGACAAGGGGGGAGAUAGUGUAACAAGGCAGAAAAAGCUCAUUCUCUCAUGGAACUUACCUUCUUAACAUGGGUAUGGAGAGUCUACUUGAAAGGAAUAUUUGAUGAACUUUUCCACAGAAAAGAAAAUCAUGGACUUGGAGAAUAUACUUGUGGUUGCCAAGGGGGAGGGGGAGGGAGUGGGGUGGUUGGGGAGCUUGGAGUUAAUAGAUGCGAACUGUUGCCUUUGGAAUGGAUUAGCAAUGAGAUCCUGCUGUGCAGCACUGGGAACUGUGUCUAGUCACUUAUGAUGGAGCAUGAUAAUGUGUGAAAAUAGAAUGUGUACAUGUAUAUGUAACUGGGUCACCAUGCUGUACAGUAGAAAAAAAUUUGUAUUGGGGAACUAACAAUUAAAAAAAUUUUUUUAAUAAAUUAAUUAAUUAAAAAAAAAAAGAAAGGCAUAAUUGAGCAGAACUAGAAAAUAGAGAAAGGGUGGGGUUUGCCAAUAUCUUUGGGAAAGCAGACCAGGCAGAAAAUCUAGAAAGAGAAUAGUCCUGAGGCAGCGAGGAGGCAAGGCAAUCCAUGAAACAGAAGGAAAAUCAGUUUGACAUGAUAGUAGAAAACAAGAAAACUCUAUGACCUUAAAGACAGAAACACUAGAAGCAAAGAUAACAUGGCAAAACUUUUUAAUAUUAUAUAUUUAUAUUUUGGUUGACUUGUAUGUUUCUAUGUACAACAAGUACAAUAUUAACUCACUGGGAAAUAUGUAUUCAUUCAACAAAUGUUUACUCAACGUUUAGCAGGCAUAACUUCUGUGUUAGAAGUAUAGGAUAUGGAACUAAGAAAACUAGAAUCAUUGUUCUUAUGGACCAGAUUUUCUGGGGGGGGCGGGGAACCAUGGAAACCUUUCUUUUCUUUUCUUUUAAAUGACUACUAUUAACCAUGAUUUUUAAAAUCAUCUUUUACUAUACCAGUGAAAUUUUGACUCAAUUUUAUAACUUUUCUAUCAAGUUUCAAUUAUUAGAACUUACUACAAUCCUAUAUAAUACUUCAAUGCAUAACUUAUCUAAAGCUGGGAGUAUAGUAUUUUAUUUGUCCUUCUCAACUUUGGGAAUGAUUUAUAAUUUUGGCUCAUCAGGAAAAGUUCCCCUCAAUAUUAAUAUAUUUAUUUAUGUUCACAGUUGCAUUUGUAUUUCUCUACUCAUGUAGAUACAUAAAUAUGUCUCAUAUAUCUGGACAUGUGGACCAAAAUAAAAUAUCAUGUAGCACUUCAAUCUCAGGGCUUCACAAAUAUUUUCUUUUUUCUUUUUCUGACUUUUUUUUUUUUUUUUUUUUUUUUUAGGGCCGCACCUGUAGCAUAUGGAGGUUCCUAGGCUAGGGGUAGAAUUGGAGCUACAGCUGCUGGCCUACACUACAGCCACAGCAACACCAGAUCUGAGCCACAUCUGCGACCUACGCUACAGGCCACGGCAAUGCCAGAUCCUUAACAAGCUGAGUGGAACAGGGGAUCAAACCCACGUCCUCGUGGAUUUGAUCAUUACUCAUUACCAUUGAGCCAUAGCAGGAACUCCCUUACACAUAUUUUCCAGUAGUUUAUUUGUUUGUUUUUGUUUUGUGUUUGCAUCGUAUUGUCCUCAUCUGUAAUAGGGCCUUUGGACUUUGUCAUGUUCCAUGCGUCUUCCAACAGUUUAUUCAACUCAAUGAAAGCUCUGGAACUAGCAUCACAAGGGGCAGAAAAUUAAAGUAUCCCUUUGCUGUAACAUUCCUCCAAGAUUCAAUGAGAUGAAGAAUUGGAGGAAGGAAGAGAGGUAGAGGUCUUCCCUCCAGCUUUAGUGACUUAGCAAAACCAGCCCUAUGGAUCAGUGGACAGAUAGUCUUUGUAAUAUUUCUGAUGUUAGGAAUGACUAGGCAAAUGGUUUCUGUGCCUUGAUUUUCCUUUAGUACACAGUCUGAUUCAAUGACUUCAUACUGUAUCAGUGUGAGAUAUGACAAGAAUUAUAAAUUUUUAAGGACUUAUAACAGUAAGCAAAAAGACAUACCCUAAAAUCCUUAUUUUGCAGCAUCCUUUUGGCCUAUCAGGACACCAAUCACAAUGACUGGGCUAUGCUGCAUGUAUUCUCAACCUUGAAAGGAAAUUCAGAAGGGUAUUAGUGCCAAUUUUGCCUUUACCUAAGAAGACAAAGCCAAAAACACUCUUGAUUUAAUUGGAAAAGCCCCAGGAUGAAGGGCAGCUGUUCAUCCCAAGAUCAAGCAUUCUUGCUUUAUUCUGCAUCUUCAGCUUCAUUCUCACAAAGUGAUUACUUUUUCCUGCCCAUCGAGAGCCUUGGCACAUGAUCAGAGUUUUUGACUCUCAAAGCUGUUCAUAUUCAUGAUGAUUUUUACAGCCCAUCUUGCAGACACUGGGAAUUAUCCA